UGCUUAUAGAANUUUAUUAUAAGUAAGACCUGCUCUAUGAAUCUUCAAUAGCGGUAUUACCCUAAGGUAGCAUAAUCAUUAGUCUUUUAAUUAAAGAAUAGUAUGAAAGGUUUAACGUGAAUUUACUUUCUUUGUCUUAUAAAAUCGAAUUUAGUUUAAACAUAAAAAAAUGUUUAUUCCCUUUAGGGACAAGAAGACCCCAUAAAGCUUUAUUAUUGACUUAUAAAUUUUACCAGGUUUAUAAUUUAAUUGGGGCAAUUCUGUUUAUUUAACUUACAGAGCAAAUUAAAUUGAUCCAUCAGUGAUGAUCAUUUGAAUAAGUUACUUUGGGGACAACAGCAUAAUUAAAAUUAAAGAGUCCUUAUUGAUAAUUUUGUUUAUGACCUCGAUGUUGGAUUAUAAAUCUAUUAAGUGCAACAGCUUAAUAAGAAAGUCUGUUCGACUUUUGAAUAUAUACA
rnacentral:rRNA from 1 species